rnacentral:lncRNA from 1 species
AACGUUCUAGUUGGCCAGGCCUGAUUCUUUUCCCCACAAACCUGCCAUGUGGUGGUAAGGGAAGUUCUGCGAAGACGUUCAGGAUCCUGGGCCUGGAGAAGAGGCAUGAAUGUCCACCACAGGGGCUCUGCCGGUCAGGAUCAAGGUCACACUGGAUGAGGGAGUCCUGACCCUCUCCCGGGCUGAGCCCACCUGUGCUGCCCCCAGGACCCCAAGUACCAGGGUCUGCGGGCACGUGGCCGGGAGAUCCGGAAGGAGCUUGUUCACCUGUACCCCAGGGAGGCCCAGCUUGAGGAGCAGUUCUACCUGCAGGCGCUGAAGCUGCCCAACCAGACCCACCCAGACGUGCCCGUCGGGGAUGAGAGCCAGGCUCGAGUGCUCCACAUGGUCGGAGACAAGCCAGUUUUCUCCUUCCAACCUCGGGGCCACCUGGAAAUUGGCGAGAAACUCGACAUCAUCCGUCAGAAGCGCCUGUCCCACGUGUCUGGCCACCGGUCCUAUUACCUGCGCGGGGCUGGAGCCCUCCUGCAGCACGG